AAUUAACCUAAUCUUCAGUUCACUCUUCAGUCUUCGCACUUUGUAACCUUCGCUUCGGUCUUCCUGGCUCCUUCUUCCUCUCUCUGCAAUUGCCGAAAUUGCCUUGCCCAGUUGCCUUAUGCCUGCCAUCUCUAUUUCCUUCUCCCCUUAAUGGCUCAACCCUAAUCCCUUCUCCAAACUCCAAUCUUGAUCCAUAGCAAUCAGCAAAAAGGAAGCACCGAAGCAUGAAGUUUUUCUACUCACCGCUGGAAUUGUAAGCCAAAAAAAACUCUGUAAUUGAAGCUUAUAUCAGAGAUUAAGCAUGUCGCGAACAACAGAGAAAGCGAGAAGUGGGAAACUUUCCUUUAGCUGUAUUUUUGGAAAGCAUGAAAGAAAAACAACAGGAAACCUCGUGGUGUGCUUCACGCAAAUGGAUGGUUAUGCGGAUCCCAUGUUUUAUUCUUUCAAGUCUUUUUCAAUUCGGAAAUUGAUUCACCAUUCUUCAAGCAGGCUUAAACCGAAAGAGGAGUUUGUCUGGCGUGAGAUAAAGGAUGCAUCUGAUGCAUGCACCCCACAUUACUUUGCUAUGAGUUUGAUUCAGGCUGGAAGUUUGGUCUAUCCUGUUGGUGGUGUGAAGGGCAAUGAGGAAGAGAGGCACUUGUAUGAGCCAGGCAGCUUACCCGAGAAUUCAGUUGCAUCUCUCUCUCAACUCCUCUAGAAAACUCUCGAGCAGAGAUUAAGUGCCCAAUGCAUGGGCAAAGUAUUUCCCCCUUAUAGAGGAAAUUGAUGGUCGCAUCUAUGUUCUAUCUGGGCCCCUGCCUAGCUAUGGAUCUCUUGAUAUAGUUGACAUCGGCUUUGAGGUUUAUUAUCCUUUAGAGGAUAGGUGGGUUGAUCUGUCGAUUCCUCCUUUUCUCAAAAAAGGUAGUUACUCCACUAUGUUUAGGGGCUUCUUUGCAUAUGUAGUGAUUGGUUCAAGGUUGUGUGUUUUGACUAGGGAAUAUGCGUGUGCUUUUGACACUGUGUAGUGGGAGUGGGAGGCUUGUGAGUUAUUUUCUGAUUUCCCGCUUCAACCUGCCGAACAAUAUGUGCGACACCUAGAUGGUUGCGGUCCUCCAUUUCCUUUUGAGAAAAAAGCCAUCCUAUAUAAAGACAAUAUCUUGUUGUGCACUAUGCCUGCCUUCUAUCCUCCUGUCUGUGCCUUUCAAAUUUGUGAUGAGAAAGCAGUAAAAAUGUCACUUUUAUUGGAUGGCAUGCCAUGUGGAGUUGCUGUUGAUCUUGUUGAUUUAGGAAAUGAUUACUUUGUUGUAAUGCUUUUUGAAGACAAAACAGAUGGAUGUGCCGAAGAUCUGACAAUUGUCACUUUCAAGCUGCUUUCAGAAAGAGGGGGAGAUGGAGCUCUGAGUUGUGCAUUGAUAAGUACAAGGACUUGUAAUGCAAUAGAGAAUGGCUCUACUGUGCGUCCCAUCUAUUCCUUCAUAUUGCGAGUUAAUUAAGAUUCCAUGAGAAGUAUGAAGGGCUAGCAUAGCUAGAGCUGAAGCUGAUGAUCAUGAAUAAAAGGCAAGUGCAAAAAAUGCUACAACUAGCAGCUUUCAUGGUAAAAAAAAAAAAAAAACAUUCAUGUUUGUAAUGAAUAAAUUCAAUAGAAAAAAAAAAUUUCUUGGUUGACAAUUGCAAA